UGUUUUGGGGGUGCCCUGGUGGCAUAGUCAGUGGAGUAUCAAUUCUUGGUUUCGGCUCAGGUUGUGAUCUCA